rnacentral:ncRNA from 1 species
GACAAGUUGGAUUGACAGAUUGAUAGCUCUUUCUGGAUUCCGUGGGUGGUGGUGCAUGGCCAUUCUUAGUUGAUGGAGCGAUUUGUCUGGUUAAUUCCGAUAACGAACGAGACUCUGGCAUGACAAGUUGGAAACCCAGAGUAAUUGAUAGUGUCAUUUCUUAUUUGAGUCUGAAGUUGAGAGAAGGCUGAUUUCCC